rnacentral:rRNA from 1 species
UGGGGAAUAUUGCACAAUGGGCGCAAGCCUGAUGCAGCCAUGCCGCGUGUAUGAAGAAGGCCUUCGGGUUGUAAAGUACUUUCAGCGGGGAGGAAGGGAGUAAAGUUAAUACCUUUGCUCAUUGACGUAACCCGCAGAAGAAGCACCGGCUAACUCCGUGCCAGCAGCCGCGGUAAUACGGAGGGUGCAAGCGUUAAUCGGAAUUACUGGGCGUAAAGCGCACGCAGGCGGUUUGUUAAGUCAGAUGUGAAAUCCCCGGGCUCAACCUGGGAACUGCAUCUGAUACUGGCAAGCUUGAGUCUCGUAGAGGGGGGUAGAAUUCCAGGUGUAGCGGUGAAAUGCAUAGAGAUCUGGAGGAAUACCGGUGGCGAAGGCGGCCCCCUGGACAAAGACUGACGCUCAGGUGCGAAAGCGUGGGGAGCAAACAGG